rnacentral:lncRNA from 1 species
UUGUCGUAUUUUCCCACUUGCUUAAGGUGGUAUGGGAGUCUAAAAUAAAAAUGAUAGAAUUUGUUCAUACUUUGCCAAAAUGUAGUAUCUAUUGAUAUAUGUCAAAAAAUAUAAUAAAAAUGAUAGGUCACCGCGCAUUUUCUCAAGCUACAGGGCGUGACAAAAUGACAUUUUUUUGUAUGGAUUAUACAGGAAAAAACACCAUUUUGUGAUUAGAACCUAAACAAAAUGAUAGAAUUGUUAAAUACUUAAGGAAAAGAUAGCUUUCAGACAAUGCUUUGAGAAUAUCAAAAGAAAAGAUAGAGUCACCGUACGUUUUUUCCCGCUAAAAUACAAAAUAGGAAAAUUCCAUGUAGAAUCCUUCAGAAAAUGCACUGUUUUAGAGUUACCUCCCCUUAAAAUGCCAUUUUAUUUAUUUUUUAAAAACAACCAAAAGUAAUCAAAAUUUGCAAAAAUAUUAAUAUUGAUAAGUUAUAUUCUUAUAAAUUGUUUUUUUUAAGUGAAAAUUCACAUUAAAUAUCUGCAUUCCUGCAUCAAAUUUUGCUCUCUCGAUAAAAAAUCUGGACCUUUGGUUCUCUGUUUUGUACAAUCCAAGAUGGAGGAAGACACCCAUACCACCUUAAGACAAGUCAUUUGUCGAAAAUGUACUGCAUUGUUUUCCAUUUGCACAAAACUUGCCAUAGAUUUGUAAACAACAUAAAUCCGCCAUAGAUUAGUAAAUUACAAAACUUGCCAUAGAUUUGGGAUGACAUGACGUCACAUUUACCAUAGAUUAGGAAUCUGCCAUAGAUUUGGAACCCACCAUAGAU